CAGUAGCCGCGGUAAUACGAAGGGUGCAAGCGUUAAUCGGAAUUACUGGGCGUAAAGCGUGCGUAGGCGGUGAGUUAAGUCUGCUGUGAAAUCCCCGGGCUCACCCUGGGAAUGGCAGUGGAUACUGGCUCGCUAGAGUGUGUCAGAGGAUGGUGGAAUUCCCGGUGUAGCGGUGAAAUGCGUAGAGAUCGGGAGGAACAUCAGUGGCGAAGGCGGCCAUCUGGGACAACACUGACGCUGAGGCACGAAAGCGUGGGGAGCAAACAGGAUUAGAUACCCCUGUAGUCCCUGUCUCUUAUAC
rnacentral:rRNA from 1 species